CUCGCUAGCUCAGAAACCCUAAGCGCCUGAGAAGAUGAAGUUCCACAUUGCAAAUCCAACCACUGGUUGCCAGAAGAAGCUCGAGAUCG